GAGAGAGGAAGGACGGCCACCGGGUCUUAUGAUCUGAGGAAAGUCUCCCCACCAUCUAAAUACACGAGCGCCUGUAAAGGGCGUCGGGCGAGAGCUCGGGCAGUUGUUUACAACUCAUACAACCUUGGUUAAACCAAAGCCGUAUGCUGGCACAGAAACGAUACCACCCCAUGUUAAUGCUAUGAUUCCGCAAAGGAUGAGGUCGCAUGGUACGUGGAUGGAACGGCGAAACUUCGUGGGUGCAAGUCAAGUAAGGCGAGAACGGGUGUUUAGACCGCGUCUGAAAAUGGUACGCUUAGCCGAAUGCCGUCAAUGCAAGGUGCUCUUUUGAGCCGUAUUCAUAACAAAUAUGAAUAAUUUUGCACGAACAGAAGGGAGCUUACUCCCCUCACUC
rnacentral:RNase_P_RNA from 1 species